GAAGAGGUCAGAAAUCGAGCUUGAAGUGAGGACACGUGCACAGCCAAAUGUCUACUCGAGUUAUGAAGAAUGUUCGUGUCGUCGACUUGAUAUUUGGAGUUUAGAUUUUAUUAUAUUACGUUUUUAUAUUAGGUUUAUAAUAUUUAUAUUAUUUUAGAGUUAGUUAUGGCUAGGAUUUUCUUAUUUAUUAGUUUCCUUAUUAUAGAUUAGGUAAGAGUCCUUUUCCUUGUGAAAAAGGAGUCUUUUUAGAUCUUAUAAAUAUGUAGCCAAUUUGGCUGAUUUUAAUGGACGAAUUUUGAUGAUUUAAAUGGAG
rnacentral:lncRNA from 1 species